AUGCAACGCGUGCGUGGAAUCGCACGCAAAUGUUCCUCGCAGGUACCUCUGACACAUCCCAGGCGCUGGGCUGGAGCGUGCCGGAGCAGCGUCGAUGUUUGGCCGAACUGGCUGCUGUGACCCCCUCCCGCGCUCAUUCUUUUGGCGCUGGCUGGGGUGACCUCAAUCUAAGAGUAUGGGCAAAAAGUUUCAGAGCCAUUGGGCGGUGGGUGUGUAGCACAGACGAGUUGUAAGGGUUAGGACGCUCUCUGCGCAUGGAAUUGGCUGUGGAAAGGAGAGGGAGGCUGACCGUCCCAAGGUCCCAGUGAGAGCUGCAAAGCAAUAGCCAUGUCCUGGGACCGACUCCGCUGCCGACUCCCUGAGGACUUUGCAUUUUGUUUUAUUAUUCCUCUUCGCGAUUUUCGUCUGAAUCCCCGUGCGGGAGGGGGGUUUGGGGAUGAGAGUGUGUAAAUGACCCCCAAGUCUAGGAGCAGAGGUCUCCUGCCCGAAACCCCAAGCCCCAGGUGUUUCUGAGUUCAGCUGGAAGCUCUCCUUGGCGCAGCGCAGACACCGCGCCUGGCUCCCCGAGACCGCGGAUAGGCAGAGAAGAAAGCUGAGCCCAGCCCGAACCCCACCGGGGAUUUCAGGAGGAUUCGGCGACCCUUGAGGCUCUUGUGCUACCGGCACCAUAUCUCCACCCGUGGGCUGCCCGCGAGCAACUGAGGUUCCGGAGGGAGUGGGCGAAGGGGCUGCUCCUCGUCCUGACUGCUCCGUCUCUCCAGAGCCCAAGCGGGAGAGUGGUGGCUUCUCCACGCCCCUCUGUCCUCCAGUUGCCGGCAGCCUGUUGCAGAGGGUCAAAACCCUCUUGCACGUGGCGCUGUGUUUGGGGAGGCGCCUUCCGGUCACGAAAUAACAGCGGCUGGUGGAAGAAGGGCGACAGGAGGAAAUUCCCACCAAAUUAACUACCUUUUAAAAAUCAAUAUAUGUUCCCUCCAUGUACUACUUGCUGCUGCCCCAUUAAAGAGCAGAGCGACA
rnacentral:lncRNA from 1 species